GGUUAAGCGACUAAGCGUACACGGUGGAUGCCCUGGCAGUCAGAGGCGAUGAAGGACGUGCUAAUCUGCGAUAAGCGUCGGUGAGGUGAUAUGAACCGUUAUAACCGGCGAUUUCCGAAUGGGGAAACCCAGUGUGUUUCGACACACUAUCAUUAACUGAAUCCAUAGGUUAAUGAGGCGAACCGGGGGAACUGAAACAUCUAAGUACCCCGAGGAAAAGAAAUCAACCGAGAUUCCCCCAGUAGCGGCGAGCGAACGGGGAGGAGCCCAGAGCCUGAAUCAGUGUGUGUGUUAGUGGAAGCGUCUGGAAAGGCGCGCGAUACAGGGUGACAGCCCCGUACACAAAAAUGCACAUAUUGUGAGCUCGAUGAGUAGGGCGGGACACGUGGUAUCCUGUCUGAAUAUGGGGGGACCAUCCUCCAAGGCUAAAUACUCCUGACUGACCGAUAGUGAACCAGUACCGUGAGGGAAAGGCGAAAAGAACCCCGGCGAGGGGAGUGAAAAAGAACCUGAAACCGUGUACGUACAAGCAGUGGGAGCCUCUUUUAUGGGGUGACUGCGUACCUUUUGUAUAAUGGGUCAGCGACUUAUAUUCUGUAGCAAGGUUAACCGAAUAGGGGAGCCGAAGGGAAACCGAGUCUUAACUGGGCGUUAAGUUGCAGGGUAUAGACCCGAAACCCGGUGAUCUAGCCAUGGGCAGGUUGAAGGUUGGGUAACACUAACUGGAGGACCGAACCGACUAAUGUUGAAAAAUUAGCGGAUGACUUGUGGCUGGGGGUGAAAGGCCAAUCAAACCGGGAGAUAGCUGGUUCUCCCCGAAAGCUAUUUAGGUAGCGCCUCGUGAAUUCAUCUCCGGGGGUAGAGCACUGUUUCGGCAAGGGGGUCAUCCCGACUUACCAACCCGAUGCAAACUGCGAAUACCGGAGAAUGUUAUCACGGGAGACACACGGCGGGUGCUAACGUCCGUCGUGAAGAGGGAAACAACCCAGACCGCCAGCUAAGGUCCCAAAGUCAUGGUUAAGUGGGAAACGAUGUGGGAAGGCCCAGACAGCCAGGAUGUUGGCUUAGAAGCAGCCAUCAUUUAAAGAAAGCGUAAUAGCUCACUGGUCGAGUCGGCCUGCGCGGAAGAUGUAACGGGGCUAAACCAUGCACCGAAGCUGCGGCAGCGACGCUUAUGCGUUGUUGGGUAGGGGAGCGUUCUGUAAGCCUGUGAAGGUGUGCUGUGAGGCAUGCUGGAGGUAUCAGAAGUGCGAAUGCUGACAUAAGUAACGAUAAAGCGGGUGAAAAGCCCGCUCGCCGGAAGACCAAGGGUUCCUGUCCAACGUUAAUCGGGGCAGGGUGAGUCGACCCCUAAGGCGAGGCCGAAAGGCGUAGUCGAUGGGAAACAGGUUAAUAUUCCUGUACUUGGUGUUACUGCGAAGGGGGGACGGAGAAGGCUAUGUUGGCCGGGCGACGGUUGUCCCGGUUUAAGCGUGUAGGCUGGUUUUCCAGGCAAAUCCGGAAAACCAAGGCUGAGGCGUGAUGACGAGGCACUACGG
rnacentral:rRNA from 1 species